ACUUGACCAAUAUUACAAAAUGGGAUCGAGGGGAAGCAAACUUGUUAAUACAACCAUUAUUACAGAGGGGGAUAUAGUUUUCUUUCAAAGACCAGGUUAUAAAUGUUAUGGUAUCUAUGUAGGUAAUGAUGAAAUAGUCUAUUUAGCUGGGGAUGAUAACUCGGAUACUAUGGUUAAAAGGGAAAACAUGUGGAAGGAAGCCAAGGGCUCUAAAAUCACCACAGUAAAUACAGAUAUUAAAAGACGUCCGUUACCAAUAAAGGAAGUAGUAGAGAGGGCUCUAUCCAAGCUGGGUGAAGGUGAUUAUGAUCUGUUCGAGAAUAGUUGUGAACAUUUUGCUAUUUGGUGUCGAUAUGGA